CAACCCUCAAGCCCCGGCCGGCUUGGUGUUGGGGACCGGCCCCGGCCGCCCCCCAAAUGCAGUGGCGACCUCGCCGCAGCCUCCCCUGCGUAGUAGCACAACCUCGCACCGGAGCGCGGAGACGGUCACGCCGUAAAACGCCCAACUUCUCAG
rnacentral:misc_RNA from 1 species